UGCAGUCGAACGGGAGAUCAAUGAAAGCUUGCUGAUUUGGUCUUUAGUGGCGGACGGGUGAGUAACGCGUGAGGACUUGUCCCAGACAGGGGGACAACAGAUGGAAACGUCUGCUAAUACCCCAUAAGCCGAGAGGUAAAAGGAGCAAUCCGGUCAGGGAGAGACUCGCGUUCUAUCAGCUAGUUGGUGGGGCAACGGCCCACCAAGGCGAAGACGGAUAGCCGGACUGAGAGGUCGAACGGCCACAUUGGAACUGAGAUACGGUCCAAACUCCUAUGGGAGGCAGCAGUGGGGAAUAUUGGGCAAUGGGGGCAACCCUGACCCAGCGACGCCGCGUGAGUGAAGAAAUCCCUCGGGAUGUAAAGCUCUGUUGUACGGGAAGAUAAUGACGGUACCGUACGAGGAAGCCCCGGCAAACUACGUGCCAGCAGCCGCGGUAAUACGUAGGGGGCGAGCGUUGUUCGGAAUUACUGGGCGUAAAGCGCACGCAGGCGGACUUGUAAGUCAAACGUCAAAGGCAGAGGCUCAACUUCUGUUCCACGUUUGAUACUGUAAGUCUAGAGUAUGUGAGAGGAAGACGGAAUUCCCGGUGUAGCGGUGAAAUGCGUAGAUAUC
rnacentral:rRNA from 1 species